CCAUGAGCACCGCAUGGAGCUCAUGCCAAAAAUCCUUUCGGGGAUAGCGCAGGGAUGGACCUAUGGCGCAUUAGCUGGUUGGCGGGGCAACGGCCCACCAAGGCAACGAUGCGUAGCCGGCCUGAGAGGGCGGACGGCCACAUUGGGACUGAGACACGGCCCAGACUCCUGCGGGAGGCAGCAGUAGGGAAUUUUCGGCAAUGGGGGAAACCCUGACCGAGCAACGCCGCGUGAGCGAAGAAGGCCUUCGGGUCGUAAAGCUCUGUUGUAAAGGAAGAACGGCGCAUACAGGAAAUGGUAUGCGAGUGACGGUACUUUACCAGAAAGCCACGGCUAACUACGUGCCAGCAGCCGCGGUAAUACGUAGGUGGCGAGCGUUAUCCGGAAUCAUUGGGCGUAAAGAGGGAGCAGGCGGCCGCAAGGGUCUGUGGUGAAAGACCGAAGCUAAACUUCGGUAAGCCAUGGAAACCGGGCGGCUAGAGUGCGGAAGAAGGAUCGUGGAAUUCCAUGUUGUAGCGGUGAAAUGCGUAGAUAUAUGGAGGAACACCAGUGGCGAAGGCGACGGUCUGGGCCGCAACUGACGCUCAUUCCCGAAAGCGUGGGGAGCAAAUAGGAUUAGAUACC
rnacentral:rRNA from 1 species